UCCCAAAAUUCCACUACCAUUUAUUAACCCUUAAACCGUACUGAAUGAUCUCAUAACCUUAUGAGAGCCUAUAUGUUAGAACUAGUAACAAGAAGACAGCCCUUCUCCAAAAUGUAAACAUGAACCAAAACGAACCACUCAUUGGCACUUAAAGUUAAUAAAUCAAUAGUAGAAACCUAACAAGAAAAGUCUACUAAAUACAACGUCAACCUUACACUAGUACAUUACUGGAAAGAAUAAAAGAAUGGGAAGGAACUCGGCAAACCACUAACCCCGCCUGUUUACCAAAAACAUCGCCUCUUGACACCCAUAAGAGGUCCAGCCUGCCCAGUGACUAAGUUAAACGGCCGCGGUACCCUAACCGUGCAAAGGUAGCGCAAUCACUUGUUCUUUAAUGAGGACUAGUAUGAACGGCAUCACGAGGGGUUAUGCUGUCUCCCCCACUCUAUUCAGUGAAACUGAUCUCCCCGUGAAGAAGCGGGGAUAAAAAUAUAAGACGAGAAGACCCCAUGGAGCUUUAAACUCAGUAUCAACUGCUUUAUAAAUCAACCUAAUAUCUAUGCAACCCUGAUUACUAGUUUUCGGUUGGGGUGACCACGGAGCAUAAAACAACCUCCACGACGAAAGGAAGUAAUAACCUAAAUUAAGAGUUACAACUCUAAAUAUCAACAAAUUGACUAAAUUGAUCCAAUAAAUUGAUCAACGAACCAAGUUACCCUGGGGAUAACAGCGCAAUCCAUUUCAAGAGCUCAUAUCGACAAAUGGGUUUACGACCUCGAUGUUGGAUCAGGGUAUCCCAGUGGCGCAGCCGCUACUAACGGUCGU
rnacentral:rRNA from 1 species